UGGCGGCAGGCCUAACACAUGCAAGUCGAGCGGUAACAGAAAGAAAGCUUGCUUUCUUUGCUGACGAGCGGCGGACGGGUGAGUAAUGCCUGGGAAUAUGCCUUAGUGUGGGGGAUAACUAUUGGAAACGAUAGCUAAUACCGCAUAAUGUCUUCGGACCAAAGAGGGGGACCUUCGGGCCUCUCGCGCUAAGAUUAGCCCAGGUGGGAUUAGCUAGUUGGUGAGGUAAAGGCUCACCAAGGCAACGAUCCCUAGCUGGUCUGAGAGGAUGAUCAGCCACACUGGAACUGAGACACGGUCCAGACUCCUACGGGAGGCAGCAGUGGGGAAUAUUGCACAAUGGGGGGAACCCUGAUGCAGCCAUGCCGCGUGUAUGAAGAAGGCCUUCGGGUUGUAAAGUACUUUCAGUCGUGAGGAAGGCAUUGUAGUUAAUAGCUGCAGUGCUUGACGUUAGCGACAGAAGAAGCACCGGCUAACUCCGUG
rnacentral:rRNA from 1 species